ACUCCUACGGGAGGCAGCAGUAGGGAAUCUUCCACAAUGGGCGCAAGCCUGAUGGAGCAACACCGCGUGAGUGAAGAAGGGUUUCGGCUCGUAAAGCUCUGUUGUUAAAGAAGAACACGUAUGAGAGUAACUGUUCAUACGUUGACGGUAUUUAACCAGAAAGUCACGGCUAACUACGUGCCAGCAGCCGCGGUAAUACGUAGGUGGCAAGCGUUAUCCGGAUUUAUUGGGCGUAAAGAGAGUGCAGGCGGUUUUCUAAGUCUGAUGUGAAAGCCUUCGGCUUAACCGGAGAAGUGCAUCGGAAACUGGAUAACUUGAGUGCAGAAGAGGGUAGUGGAACUCCAUGUGUAGCGGUGGAAUGCGUAGAUAUAUGGAAGAACACCAGUGGCGAAGGCGGCUACCUGGUCUGCAACUGACGCUGAGACUCGAAAGCAUGGGGUAGCGAACAGGAUUAGAUACCCUGGUAGGAUAG
rnacentral:rRNA from 1 species